rnacentral:lncRNA from 1 species
CCGGAGUUCUCCAGAGCCAGAGUCCAGGGUGUGGAGGGGUGGGGGUUCUGCAGUGGCACAGUCCAGGACACCGCCGGGCGCUGCAGGGCCGGGAUCCUCCGGUGCCUUAGUCCAGGGCGGAGAGGUCCUUCAGCAGCAUAACCUAGCUCUUGGCAUUGCAGGGGUCCAUGGAGUCACCGGUCGGGGUCCUCCCGUGUUUUAGCCUAGGGCUGGGAGAGGACGGGGACCUCCUUUGCCCUAGUCCAGGGCAUUGUGAGGCCCGGCUCCUGAACACUUACUGUCUGUGCCACUACCGCGGCGGGGGAAAACUACACCAUCUCAGGGUGGACUCCCUCUCAUCCUCAGGAUCUCAGCUCAAGCCUCAUUCAUCACCACAUUCCUGGCUCCAGGUCUGGCCCAGAAGAAAUGGGUCAGAUUAAGAGCUCAAUGUGUUUCCAUGGUCACUUUUCUUCAGCCCUCCUUUCUUUGUGCCAACAUCUAUCUUUGGGUUUCUGGAUAAAGUUUUCAGCAGCUGCAUGCAGCUCCAUUUUUCUUACCAGGUAAGAGACUGUGCUUGAGUCCGCAGUAAGGCAAUGUUCCUCCAAUGCUGGGGGACUCCAAAAGUCUUCCUGAAAACAAAGGCACAAUGCUUGUGACCAGAGAACUCCCAGUCCUCUCCCUGCAUAGGAAAACUGGACUUCUCCGGAAGGCUCUAGUUCCUGGCAAAUCUCUAGGGCCACUUAAUUGCGCUGUCCCCCACCUUUGCUUCUGGUUCUGAAGGGACUGAAGUUGGGAAUCCUUUCUAAGUCUCUACACACGGAGCCCUUCUUUUGUGGGAAUGUUUUGCCAUACACUAGGAUUCUCAUUUACCUUUCAGGGCCUUCAAGAAUCCUGAUGUGCUUUGGCUUCUGUUCCUGGAAGGGAGGCCACUGAACUGCUCUGGAGCGGAAGUUCAAAUAGUCAUCACUGUUAUUAAACCUUUACAUAGCAUGUUCUUUCUUUCUGGCAGGCUUGUGGUUUGCUUGUAUGUAGAUGGGCUUGUAUGUAGAUGGAGUGGUUUGCGUCCUCAUUAGGUAACACCCUCAGUCUUUCAUGCUGAGAUUGGCCAUUUUAUUUGUAACUCACUGUACUAUCCAUUUGCUCUUCCAGUGUCCCUUAGAAGGAUACAGAGUGUUCUGUAGAAUGCCAUAGAGACCUGGGCUUAGGGAAAAUAUUU